UACGUAGGGUGCGAGCGUUAAUCGGAAUUACUGGGCGUAAAGCGUGCGCAGGCGGUUCGUUGUGUCGGCGGUGAAAGCCCCGGGCUUAACCUGGGAAUGGCCGUUGAAACUGGCGAACUGGAGUGUGGCAGAGGGGGGUGGAAUUCCGCGUGUAGCAGUGAAAUGCGUAGAGAUGCGGAGGAACACCGAUGGCGGAAGGCAGCCCCCCUGGGCUAACACUGACGCCUCAGGCACGAAAGCGUGGGGAGCAAACAG
rnacentral:rRNA from 1 species